rnacentral:rRNA from 1 species
GACGAACGCUGGCGGCGUGCUCAACACAUGCAAGUCGAACGAGCGGCGAACGGGUGAGUAACACGUGGGUGAUCUGCCUUGCACUUCGGGAUAAGCUUGGGAAACUGGGUCUAAUCCCGGAUAGUGCAAGAUGAGCUCGCGGCCUAUCAGCUUGUUGGUGGGGUAGUGGCUACCAAGGCGCGACGGGUGGCCGGCCUGAGGGGGUGUACGGCCACGUAGGGGCGGAGAUACAGCCCAGAAUCCUACGGGAGGAAGGAGUGAGGAAUAUUGCACGAUGGGCGGAUGCCUGCUGCAGGCACGAAGCGUGGGUGAUGAAGGCCUUCUGUUUGUAAACUCCUUUCGACAGGGACGCGGUACCUGAAUAAGAAGCACCGGCUAACUCCGUGCCAGCAGCCGCGGUAAUAC